rnacentral:rRNA from 1 species
GUUACAGCCGCCGCGGUAAGACGAACCGUGCGAACGUUGUUCGGAAUCACUGGGCUUAAAGGGCGCGUAGGCGGCGGAUCAAGUCCGGGGUGAAAGCCCCCAGCUUAACUGGGGAAGUGCCUCGGAUACUGGCCCGCUCGAGGGAGGUAGGGGUCGCGGGAACUUCCGGUGGAGCGGUGAAAUGCGUAGAUAUCUGGAGGAAUACUGGUGGCGAAGGCGGCAUCCUGGACCGGCAUUGACGCUGAACAGCGAAAGCUAGGGGAGCAAACGGGAUUAGAUACCCGCGUAGUCC